rnacentral:rRNA from 1 species
GGCGUAAAGCGCAUGCAGGUGGUCUAUCAAGUCAGAGGUGAAAUCCCGGAGCUUAACUUCGGAAUUGCCUUUGAAGCUGUUGGACUAGAGUACUGUAGAGGGGGGUAGAAUUUC